ACUCCUCUCCCACAGCGAUACCUCCGGAAAAGCCCUUCGGCAUUCCAACCAUGCAACCUUUCCUCAUCGAAAAUGAAUAAUCUGUCUUCAGAAUCUUAUUGGGAAGACAAAGUGUGUGAAUCAUAUUCAGCAAAGUGGGAGAAAA